GGCGCUUUGGCAGAGUGGCCUAAUGCGGUGCCCUGCUAUCAUGUAGUAUAGGCAUUCUCUUCGGAGGCGCAGGUUCGAAUCCUGCAGGCGUCG
rfam:Pseudomassariella vexata strain CBS 129021 BCR38scaffold_23, whole genome shotgun sequence.